AUUGAACGCUGGCGGAAUGCUUUACACAUGCAAGUCGAACGGCAGCACGGACUUCGGUCUGGUGGCGAGUGGCGAACGGGUGAGUAAUGUAUCGGAACGUGCCCAGUCGUGGGGGAUAACGCAGUGAAAAUUACGCUAAUACCACAUACGAUCUAUGGAUGAAAGCGGGGGAUCGCAAGACCUCGCGCGAUUGGAGCGGCCGAUAUCAGAUUAGGUAGUUGGUGGGGUAAAGGCCCACCAAGCCAACGAUCUGUAGCUGGUCUGAGAGGACGACCAGCCACACUGGAACUGAGACACGGUCCAGACUCCUACGGGAGGCAGCAGUGGGGAAUUUUGGACAAUGGGCGAAAGCCUGAUCCAGCCAUACCGCGUGCAGGAUGAAGGCCCUCGGGUUGUAAACUGCUUUUGUACAGAACGAAAAGGUUUCUACUAAUACUAGGAGCUCAUGACGGUACUGUAAGAAUAAGCACCGGCUAACUACGUGCCAGCAGCCGCAGUAA
rnacentral:rRNA from 1 species